ensembl:misc_RNA
GAAGAUUUUUUUUUUCUCCACUAGGAACUGUUGACCUGCAGCAGUCCUGGGGUCCACAGAUAUUUUAGCCCAGGCCAAA